ensembl:lncRNA
ACCCUGCCAACCCCACCCCACUGUCAGGGUCCCAUAUCAGCCUCUAAGCCUCUACUUCUCUGCUAAGUGGGAGGUCUCCCUGCUUCCCACCGGAUGUGGAUCCUGGCCCAGUUAAUCACUUUAUUUGACUGCACCGGGUCCUCAUUGUGGUGCGUGAACUCCUGGUUAAGCAUGUGGUUUCCUGACCGGGAUCAAACCCAGGCCCCUGCGCUGGGAGGGCGCAGUCUUAACGUCUGGACCACCACAGGAAGUCCUUACUUUAUUUCUAAUUUCCCUUCACUUGCUCUUUCCUUUGACAGCUUAAAAAAUGGGAAGACCUUUUCAGCAAAGCAAAAGAAACAAGUCACAACUUAGGUGUGAAUUAAAUGCGACACAUUUUAAAUACACCCCAACCACGUUUGAUUUUCCCCUUGUCUUUACUUCUGCAUACAGCAUUAAUUUAUCAGAAAUCAUGAUACUGUGGCUUUGACUUGGCUUUGUCCUAAAAAGAUUUCUCGUUCAGGGCCCUGGAGGCUGCCCCAAGGCCCAGAAGGGGAAUCUGCUGGACACUGACCCCGGGCCUGUCGGCCUGGCCGGCCGGGCCUUGCCUUCUGCACUCCCUGUAGGUGGUGAGUCUGCUGGACGGUGGGCCUAGACACUGACCCUGGGCCUGUCAGCCUGGCCGGCCGGGCCUUGCCUUCUGCACUCCCUGAAGGUGCUGAGUCUGCUGGACGGGGUGGGGGGCCUGGACACUGACCCCAGGCCUGUCAGCCUGGCCGGCGGGGCCUUGCCUUCUGCGCUCCCUGUAGGUGGUGAGUCUGCUGGACGGUGGGCUUAGACACUGACCCCGGGCCUGUCAGCCUGGCCGGCCGGGCCUUGCCUUCUGCGCUCCCUGUAGGUGGUGAGUCUGCUGGACGGGGUGGGGGGCCUGGACACUGACCCCGGGCCUGUCGGCCUGGCCGGCCGGGCCUUGCCUUCUGUGCUCCCUGAAGGUGGUGGUCCAGGAAGACGGGCCCUGACGCCUCCUCUUCCCAGACGCCUUUCCCCGAGCUUGAGCCUCUCUCCUCCGUGUGCUCUGCGGGCUUCCCGGUGUCUUUACGUGGCUUUGGCCGUUUACCCCGUGUUGGUGACUGCCGUCUCUGAGAAGGGGCCUGUGUCCAUGUUACCGCCUGCCGUUCUUUGUUUGAUUUUGGUGGGGCAAGUGCUUUCCUGUGAAUCUUCUUAAAAGUAUCCUUAACUAUUUUAAUAUACGUAUAUUUAUUUUUUCAGAUUCAAAGCCACUCCUUCAGAGUGAAGACAUUAAGGUCGACCUGACUGCCCCCAGGAGUUUCCUUGUGCAGCAAGCUCAGGGAUUUCCCUCCAAAAUCCUGUGAAAGCCGCUGGGUCUCCGAGGACCAGGCCUUCUUUCAGAGGAGAGGAGCUGCUUGUCUCUGAAGCAGCUCAGCAGGGGAAGGACUAUUUGCAUUGGGUUUUGUUUAAUUUGCCCGAGCCAAGCACACCGAGUCCAUUUGCCAUCACAUUAUCUAAGACAGCUCCAGAGCUUCUCAUUCUAGGAUCAAUUCCAUCCCGGAGUGACAUCCACUUAACACCCAGGGCCCCAUGCUUUUAGCUGAAUAAAGGUCAGGCCGUCCGCCGUCUCGGUGGCCGCCCAUCAUCGCAAGGGACGAGAGGCCCCCCAGGGAAGGUUAACGGAUGCAAAGCUCCGGGCUCACCUCCGCAAGCAGGAGACAUUUCCAUUUUUACUCCGUUUGGUGGGUGGGUAUUUAUGCUUUUCACUUUUAACCACUCCGUUUAGGGCGUUCACCUGGGAAACACCGUCUUGCAGGGGACCAAAGCCAUCCUUUGCCAGAAAUCUCCGCUCUGAUGAUCUGCAGAUGUGUGAACCCCGCGCCCAGUGGAAGUGGAGACGAUAAGUUAAUAGACCACAGCCCCCCUUCCAGUCACUUCUCGGAACCACAUGCGUUUUAAUUAACCCUUGUUGAUGGAACGGGGAGGGGCUGCAAGGACCCUCCUGGCGUCUCUCCCUGGGACUCACUGAGGGAAUGAGCCUGCGAUGCACAGUGAGGCUGCAGCUCCUCCGGGGACCUGGCAUGCCCGUGCCCUCUGCAGACGGCGGCACGGCCUUGGUCCUCUCUGCCCGCAGCUGAGCAUCUCUCUAGUCCACCCGCGGGCGCCGUUCCAGGCGGCGCUGGGCCCGGAAACUCCGAAGACUCGCUCAGGCUGCAGGCUGGCGUCCUGGGUUCUGCCUCGGCAUCCAGGGCCGCGCGGGUGUUUCUGCGUUUGCCUGUGACCGCGUGUCCUCAGGAGGGCUGCGAGAGGCCCCUCCGCAGGUGUGGGGUCCUUCUCAGAGUCCACUCCGGAGCUGACCCCCUUGUCUGGGCCGACCAUCACCUGGGCUUCCUUCUCCCACGCUGGCUUCUCAUUCGUGACCAUCUGUAAUAAGACGAUCCGUUUUCAUGUUUUAGUUCUGUUUCCCAGCCAUGUGCUCGGUGAUCUUCGUGGCAGUUCCUCCCGUCUGAUUCUCGUGGGUUUCCCGGGAGCCUGGGGGUAAUUCAGCUCCUUCUUCCUGUUUUAACCCUCUGAUCUGCCCCCCACCCCCAACAGAUAGUUCAAAAGGGUAAUGGCUCCAGUGGGGGUGGCACAGCCCCCCGACCACCACCGGGCUCCUGGGGGGGAGUGGUCCCUGAGGACGAGUCGCCUGCCCCUCAUCCCCUGGAUAGCGCCUGUCUACAGCAGCAACAGCCACAGAGAGGGGGGCGUGAUUCUUCUCCUUACGCCUCCCGGAUUGAUGACUUUUAGAAACAAUUUUACUUAUUUGUUACUUUGGCUGCGCUGGUUCAUCAGCGCUGCUGGGGCUUUUCUCUCCUUGCUGCACGCAGGCUUCUCAUUGCAGCGGCUCCUGUAGGUUUGCAGCGCGGGCUCUGAGGCAAGCGGGCUUCGUAGCUGCAACACGUGGGCUGAGUGGGUUCGGCUCCCAGGCUCAGGAUCACAGGCUCAGGAGUUGUGGUGCCUGGGCUCAGCUGUGCUGCGCAAGUGGGAUCUUCUGGAUCAGGAAUCGAACCCCUGUAUCCUAGGCCACCAGGGAAGCACAUGGAUUGAUGAAUUAGAAAAUUUUUUUAUACUGAUUUUAAAGGUUACACUUCAUUUAUGGUUAUUGCAAAAUACUGGCUAUAUUC